CAGGACAUAGGGUUGGCAGGACCCCAGGCAGGAGAGUAGUCGGCGGGACCUCCAACGGGACAGGACAGAAUGACACUAUAAUAUUAUAACAAAGGUAUAUGAGAGAGGAACCAACGUGGAGCAGUUUGUGACCCGUUUCCUGCUGAAGGAAUCAGCCAAUCAGAUUCAGUCUCUACUGAGCUCUGUGGAGAGCGCUGUGGACGCUAUUGAUGAGCAGCACAGCCAAUCAGGUCAUCAACCUGCCAAGGUGAGCCCACGGAUGUCAGAGAGGCGCAACGAAAACACCGUCCCUGACUAUCCCCCGAACAACAGAGUCACUGCCAGGGAGGCUGUUAGGACCGUCAACACUGCUU